GGGGUUGUGGCUCAGUGGCAGAGCGCUCACCUUGCACGUGUGAGGCCCUGGGUUCGAUCUCAGCACCACA
rnacentral:tRNA from 1 species